rnacentral:rRNA from 1 species
GAUGAACGCUGGCGGCGUGCCUAAUACAUGCAAGUCGAGCGAACGGACGAGAAGCUUGCUUCUCUGAUGUUAGCGGCGGACGGGUGAGUAACACGUGGAUAACCUACCUAUAAGACUGGGAUAACUUCGGGAAACCGGAGCUAAUACCGGAUGAUAUUUUGAACCGCAUGGUUCAAAAGUGAAAGACGGUCUUGCUGUCACUUAUAGAUGGAUCCGCGCUGCAUUAGCUAGUUGGUAAGGUAGCGGCUUACCAAGGCAACGAUGCAUAGCCGACCUGGGAGGGUGAUCGGCCACACUGGAACUGAGACACGGUCCAGACUCCUACGGGAGGCAGCAGUAGGGAAUCUUCCGCAAUGGGCGAAAGCCUGACGGAGCAACGCCGCGUGAGUGAUGAAGGUCUUCGGAUCGUAAAACUCUGUUAUUAGGGAAGAACAUAUGUGUAAGUAACUGUGCACAUCUUGACGGUACCUAAUCAGAAAGCCACGGCUAACUACGUG